rnacentral:rRNA from 1 species
CAGCAGCCGCGGUAAUACGGAGGGUGCAAGCGUUAAUCGGAAUUACUGGGCGUAAAGCGCACGCAGGCGGUUUGUUAAGUCAGAUGUGAAAUCCCCGAGCUUAACUUGGGAACUGCAUUUGAGACUGGCAAGCUAGAGUCUUGUAGAGGGGGGUAGAAUUCCAGGUGUAGCGGUGAAAUGCGUAGAGAUCUGGAGGAAUACCGGUGGCGAAGGCGACCCCCUGGACAAAGACUGACGCUCAGGUGCGAAAGCGUGGGGAGCAAACAGGAUUAGAUACCCCUGUAGUCCCUGUCUCUUAUAA